rnacentral:rRNA from 1 species
CGGAGAGGGAGCCUGAGAAACGGCUACCACAUCUAAGGAAGGCAGCAGGCGCGUAAAUUACCCAAUCCUGAUUCAGGGAGGUAGUGACAAGAAAUAACAACCUGGGGACCGCAAGGUUCUACGGGAUUGCAAUGAGAACAAUAUAGAUGACUUAGCGAGUAACAAUUGGAGGGCAAGUCUGGUGCCAGCAGCCGCGGUAAUUCCAGCUCCAAUAGCGUAUAUUAAAGUUGUUGCAGUUAAAAAGCUCGUAGUUGAAUGUCUGGCCUCUGGCGAGUUGGCUCUUGUCAGUUCGCUCAGAGGUCAUCCGCAUGCAAAACCAGUUUGUGAUUCAGUUCUCAGCUGGGGGAGUGUGCAAUUUACUUUGAAAAAAUUAGAGUGUUUCAGGCAGGCUUUAGCUUGGAUACAUUAGCAUGGAAUAAUGGAAUAGGACUUGAGUCCAUUUAUUUGGUUAUUGGACUGUUAGUAAUGAUUAAUAGGGACAGUUGGGGGCAUUAGUAUUUAAUUGUCAGAGGUGAAAUUCUUGGAUUUAUUAAGGACUAACUUAUGCGAAAGCAUUUGCCAAGGAUGUUUUCAUUAAUCAAGAACGAAAGUUAGGGGAUCAAAGACGAUCAGAUACCGUCCUAGUCUUAACUAUAAACUAUACCGACUCGGGAUCGGGUGGGAUGUCAAGCCUGCUCGGCACCGUAAGAGAAAUCAAAGUCUUUGGGUUCUGGGGGGAGUAUGGUCGCAAGGCUGAAACUUGAAGGAAUUGACGGAAGGGCACCACCAGGAGUGGAGCCUGCGGCUUAAUUUGACUCAACACGGGGAAACUUACCAGGUCAAAACAUGGGUGGGAUUGACAGAUUGAUAGCUCUUUCUUGAUUCUGUGGGUGGUGGUGCAUGGCCGUUCUUAGUUGGUGGAGUGAUUUGUCUGGUUAAUUCCGUUAACGAACGAGACCUUAACCUGCUAACUAGUAGAUUCAUUUACCAUGAUUUUUACUUCUUAGAGGGACUUCAUGUAUCAAGCAUGAGGAAGUUUGAGGCAAUAACAGGUCUGUGAUGCCCUUAGAUGUCCUGGGCCGCACGCGCGCUACAAUGACACGUGCAGCGAGUAUAUCCGAGCCAGAAAUGGUUAGGUAAACUUCAUAAUGCGUGUCGCGAUAGGGAUCGACCUUUGGAAUUAUAGGUCUUGAACGAGGAAUUCCUAGUAAGUGCAAGUCAUCAGCUUGUACUGAUUACGUCCCUGCCCUUUGUACACACCGCCCGUCGCUCCUACCGAUUCGAGUGAUCCGGUGAACCUUCUGGACUGAGCGAAAUUUCCGAGUUUUGCGCGGGAAGUUAAGUAAACCUUAUCACUUAGAGGAAGGAGAAGUCGUAACAAGGUAACC